CUUGCCGCCGGCGACCGGCGCACGGGUGAGUAACACGUAUGCAACCUGGCCGUGACAGAUGGAUAACCGGGAGAAAUCCCGCCUAAUACAACAUAAUGCCGGGAGGGGACAUCCCCUGCCGGUCAAAGGGGGCGACCCCGGUCACGGAUGGGCACGCGGCGCAUUAGGUAGUUGGUGGGGCAACGGCCCACCAAGCCGACGAUGCGUAGGGGUUCUGAGAGGAAGGUCCCCCACAUUGGAACUGAGACACGGUCCAAACUCCUACGGAAGGCAGCAG
rnacentral:rRNA from 1 species